UAUGGUCAUGUCAGGCUGAAGCAGCGGUUCUCGUGCGAUCCCCGAUGUUAAGCAACGUUAAGCCUGGCCAUUACCUGAAUGAGUGACCAGUUGGAAAUAUCAGGUACUGUAAG